rnacentral:rRNA from 1 species
GCCUGUUUAUCAAAAACAUGUCUUUUUGAAAAUAAUUUAAAGUCUAAUCUGCCCACUGAUAAAAUAUUGAAGGGCUGCAGUAUUUUGACUGUACAAAGGUAGCAUAAUCAUUAGUCUCUUAAUUAGUGACUUGUAUGAAGGAUUGGAUGAAAUAUAAACUGUCUCAAAAAUAAUUAAUUGAAAUUAAUUUUUUAAUUAAAAAGUUAAAAUAGAUUAAAAAGACGAGAAGACCCUAUAGAGUUUAAUAUUAAAUUAAAUUUAAAUCAUUUAUAAAUUUAUUUAUUUAUAAAUUUUAUUUAAUAUUUUGUUGGGGUGAUAAAAAAAUAAAAUAAACUUUUUUUAGUAAUAGCCAUAGAUAAGUGAUUAAAUGAUCCAAUUUUAUUGAUUAAAAGAAAAAAUUACCUUAGGGAUAACAGCGUAAUUUUUUUUUUUAGUUCUUAUAAGAAAAAAAGUUUGCGACCUCGAUGUUGGAUUAAGAUAAAAUUUAA